UCUACUUCCUGAUGACGAGACAGGGGAGCAGCCCCAGGGAGACCACUAACAGCUCUGUCAUGUAUGAAAACUCUGAGGGGCUGAAGGAUCACAUGAUGUACAUGAACCUGCCUGCUGGUCACCAGGUCAGUCUGUCACACUGUAGCCACACUGACCGCUGUCUAACUGUCCACACACCUGUCUCUCCUCUCCUGCCUGUCUCUCUCUCACACUGUAGCCACACUGACCACUGUCUAACUGUCCACACUCCUGUCUCUCCUCUCCUGCCUGUCUCUCUCUCACACUGUAGCCACACUGUCAGCUGUCUAACUGUCCACACACCUGUCUCUCCUCUCCUGCCUGUCUCUCUCUCACACUGUAGCCACACUAACCACUGUCUACCUGUCCACACACCUGUCUCUCCUCUCCUGCCUGUCUCUCACACUGUGCUCACUGUCAGCUGUCUGACUCU